UCAGGGCGUCAAAGAGCUCCUGAUCAUGUUAAGGCUUUGGACUGCAGCCUAAAUGAGCUGAUCUCCUAACACAAACAGCAGCGGGUGCUUGGACCAGCUAUCUCGUUCUCAACCCCAGUGAGGGCGAGUGCACUCAACCUCUCCUCAGUUUUGGCCGACAUGACGCCAAGUUCAAACACCUGGAGCAGACUUAAAGCCGCCCUCUCUAUUCACCGCAAAGGCAUGGUGCUAUUAACGCCAAGGACUGUGGCAGCGUCCGGCUCUCCUGGAAGGGAAGCUCUAGCAGAUCUCAGCAGGGAUCUCUUCGCCCCGCCCUUCCGGACCCCGCUCCCCAAACACCUGCAGUCACAGCUGCAUAGAAACGAUUCUCUGACUGUGUGUGAGGACCUUUCGGAUGCAGAGAAAGUGUAUGCAGAGUGUGGUCAGCCACGUGCCCUUCCCUGGGAGGAGUGUAUUCUCCCUCAAAUGAAAUUUUCACAUGAAAAAGUGUGUAAAGAUAGGAGAAGGGACCUUUGGUGAAGUCUUCUCCACAACCAAUGCCUCAGGAGACACUGUUGCUCUCAAAAUCAUUCCAGUAGAGGGCAGUGAGAAGGUGAAUGGAGAGGAUCAGAAGACAUUUGGAGAGAUCCUGCAUGAUGUAUGAUCUCAUACUUUGAGAUUAUUAUCUCAAAGGAACUGAGCAGCCUGAAGGAGAAGCAACACAACCAGACUCACAGCUUCAUUGGACUCAAUGAAUACUAGCAGGUUUCAAGAUGUGUCCACCCACUCACCACUCCACCCCAACCCUUGAGAUCUACCCCCCGCUGUCAUCCCAACCCAUCAGGAUUUUUGUGCUUCAGUUUUAGGCAUUUGCUUUUCAGAGAACGGGCACAAGUUAGGUGCCCUUUCAUGAGACGUCGCCUAACCUGGCAUAUAUGAAGUGAUGGAAGCUUUGGGCUGGCGUUAAUCCUCAACAAACCUCAGGGCAUUCUCACGGGCCAGAAAAUGAUUUACUUGUGCCGGCCAAGCCAGACAUUCAGCACAUCCACCAGUGGCAAUGUUCCUCACACUGCAGCGAUAACGUACAGGUAUUGCUGUGAGGCCAUCCUGAUGUUGGGGCAUCAGCUGACAAGAAAUGCAGUGGUGACAUU